rnacentral:rRNA from 1 species
UACGUAGGGGGCGAGCGUUGUCCGGAAUGACUGGGCGUAAAGGGCGUGUAGGCGGCCGAUUAAGUCUGGAGUGAAAAUCCUGCUUUCAAGGUGGGAAUUGCUUUGGAGACUGGUUGGUUUGAGUGCGGAAGAGGUAAGUGGAAUUCCCAGUGUAGCGGUGAAAUGCGUAGAGAUUGGGAGGAACACCAGUGGCGAAGGCGACUUACUGGGCCGUAACUGACGCUGAGGCGCGAAAGCGUGGGGAGCGAACAGGAUUAGAUACCCUGGUAGUCCACGCGGUAAACGAUGAAUGCUAGGUGUAGCGGGUAUCGACCCCUGCUGUGCCGCAGUAAACACAAUAAGCAUUCCGCCUGGGGAGUACGGCCGCAAGGUUGAA